rnacentral:lncRNA from 1 species
UUUCGAGUAGUAAAAACAAGUGUCCAGGAAGGAGCUUUCAUCAGCUUAUAACAAACGAGGGACUCAUGUUUCUCCACCUGGAUCUGGAAUGGACUGGAGAGAAACAGCAGGGAGCUGUGAGCAGCUGGCGGCAGGAGCCACCCUGCUCUUAGCAGCACUAGUUGGCUGCUGAGUGGCCCCUAUUUGACUCUUUUGUUGUUGCUCCCUAUAUGACCCUUCCUCCUCUCCCCCAUCUCCUUCCCUUCCCUUCCUUUCCCUUCCCUUCCCUUCCCUUCCCUUCCCUUCCCUUCCCUUCCCCCUCCUUCCCUUCCUUCCUUUUCUUUCUUUUUUCUUUUCAGUUUCUGCUUUUCACACAGGAUCUCACAUAGCCCAGGCUGGCCUUGAAUGUACCACAUAGAGGGGCUGAGUAUUGCACAGCUACCCACAGCAACACUACCUGCUCCAGAGACAAUGAAGCUGAAGAAUGUCUUGCAGAAGGAAAAUGCCUCUCAGCCCUGAAACUAGGAACACUAAAGAGGGUCAAAGCACAAGACAUCCAUCCCUAGCCAGUGUUCCCACCCGUGGAGAAAGUGAGAGUACACUGAGUGGCCUGUCCCAUCCAGAGUUUUUCUAGUCAUUUCCUCUGUGACUUGAAUUUCCUCAAGAGAAUAAACUCAGAUGUGAUUGGAAGAAGGCUCCUUCUGGUAGGAUUGCAUCACAGAACAUUCCCCUGAGCAGCCUUGAAGCUACCUAGCACCUCACAUUGUGUACCCUGCCCAGCUCCUUGUGGCCAGCAACUGUGAAUUUCCAGGAGCCACUGGCUGUCUCUCCACUGUUCAUGACCCCUCCUCUCUUCUUCCUGGCUGUGGCAGUUAAUCUUAAUUAUCAACUUGAUGGGUCACAAUAGGAACACCUCCUGAGUUACAAGAACAUUUCUGGAUUGGAUUAAUGGGGAAGGGAAGGCCCAACUCUAACUCUGAGCAACACCAUUAUGUGAGGUGUGGUCAUGGAUUGAGUAGAAAGGAGAAAAGAAACUAAGUUCCACCACUCACUCCUCUCUGCCCCCCACAGAGACACGCCUCCAUGUGUUACACCAUCUGCUUCAAGUUCAGGCCACCAUGCCUUUCUCUCCAUGAUGAACUGUAUCUUCAACCUGCAAGCCUAAGUAAACAUUUCUUAAUUAGG